rnacentral:rRNA from 1 species
AACGAACGCUGGCGGCGUGCUUAACACAUGCAAGUCGAACGCGAAAGGGACUUCGGUCCUGAGUAAAGUGGCGCACGGGUGAGUAACGCGUAGAUAACCUGUCUUCACGUCUGGAAUAAUACGCCGAAAGGGGUACUAAUACCGGAUAUUCUUGCUUUUCAUGAGUUUUGCAAGGAAAGGUGGCCUCUGCAUAUGCUACUGCGGGCAGAGGGGUCCGCGUACCAUUAGCUAGUAGGUGGGGUAAUGGCCUACCUAGGCUACGAUGGUUAGCGGGUCUGAGAGGAUGAUCCGCCACACUGGCACUGGAACACGGGCCAGACUCCUACGGGAGGCAGCAGUGAGGAAUAUUGCGCAAUGGGGGAAACCCUGACGCAGCGACGCCGCGUGAGUGAGGAAGGCCUUCGGGUCGUAUAGCUCUGUCAAAGGGAAAGAAGUGCAUGAUGGCUAAUACCUGUCAUGUUUGACGGUACCCUUAAAGGAAGCACCGGCUAACUACGUGCCAGCAGCCGCGGUAAUAC